rnacentral:rRNA from 1 species
GAUCCUGGCUCAGAUUGAACGCUGGCGGCGUGCUUAACACAUGCAAGUCGCGCGUGAAAGGACUUCGGUCCGAGUAAAGCGGCGCACGGGUGAGUAACGCGUGGAUGAUCUACCCAUGAGUUAGGAAUAACGGCUGGAAACGGUCGCUAAUACCAAAUACGCUCCGAUUUCAACUUCGGGGGAAAGGUGGCCUCUGCUUGCAAGCUACUGCUCAUGGAUGAGUCCGCGUCCCAUUAGCUAGUUGGUGGGGUAACGGCCCACCAAGGCGCCGAUGGGUAGCCGGUCUGAGAGGAUGACCGGCCACACUGGGACUGGAACACGGCCCAGACUCCUACGGGAGGCAGCAGUGGGGAAUAUUGCGCAAUGGGCGAAAGCCUGACGCAGCGACGCCGCGUGAAGGGGAUGAAGGUCCUCGGAUCGUAAACCUCUGUCAGGAGGGAAGAACCGCCACGGUGCUAAUCAGCCGUGGUCUGACGGUACCUCCAAAGGAAGCACCGGCUAACUCCGUGCCAGCCGCGGC